rnacentral:rRNA from 1 species
AUUGAACGCUGGCGGCAGGCUUAACACAUGCAAGUCGAGCGCGAGGCGGACGGGUGAGUAAUGUCUGGGAAACUGCCUGAUGGAGGGGGAUAACUACUGGAAAAGGUAGCUAAUACCGCAUACCAUCAGAUGUGCCCAGAUGGGAUUAGCUAGUAGGUGGGGUAAUGGCUCACCUAGGCGACGAUCCCUAGCUGGUCUGGGUGGAUGACGAGCAAACCUGGAACUGAGACACGGUCCAGACUCCUAUGGGAGGCAGCAGUGGGGAAUAUUGCACAAUGGGCGCAAGCCUUAUGCAGCCAUGCCGCGUGUGUGAAGAGGGCCUUCGGGUUGUAAAGCACUUUCAGCGUGGAGGCGUUACCCGAAUAGAAAGCAACGGCUAACUACGUGCCAGCAGCCGCGGUAAUAC